UGCCUACGGGACGCAGCAGUAGGGAAUCUUCCACAAUGGACGAAAGUCUGAUGGAGCAACGCCGCGUGAGUGAAGAAGGGUUUCGGCUCGUAAAGCUCUGUUGGUAGUGAAGAAAGAUAGAGGUAGUAACUGGCCUUUAUUUGACGGUAAUUACUUAGAAAGUCACGGCUAACUACGUUCCAGCAGCCGCGGUAAUACGUAGGUAGCAAGCGGUGUCCGGAUUUAUUGGGCGUAAAGCGAGU
rnacentral:rRNA from 1 species